UACGUAGGGCGCAAGCGUUUGUCCGGAAUUAUUGGGCGUAAAGAGCUCGUAGGCGGUUUGUCGCGUCUGCUGUGAAAUCCCCAGGCUCAACUUGGGGCGUGCAGUGGGUACGGGCAGACUAGAGUGCGGUAGGGGAGACUGGAAUUCCUGGUGUAGCGGUGAAAUGCGCAGAUAUCAGGAGGAACACCGGUGGCGAAGGCGGGUCUCUGGGCCGUAACUGACGCUGGAGGAGCGAAAGCCGUGGGGAGCGAACAGG
rnacentral:rRNA from 1 species